AUUAAUGGUCACAUAUAUGGAAAAUGGUGGCUGGCCAUGUGCUAUUUUAGAGUGGUGUGAACCCAAUUUUAUAAAAUUCAAAUCCCAUUUAAUUAAGAAGUCAAGUGGGCAAGUGGGUAGAAAAGCACUCAAGUGUUUUGUGAUAUUUUGAAGAGUAGUGUGAGCCAUUCUAACCCCCAAAUCCGACCACUCUCCCUCCCUCAUUCACUCUCAUCUGAUUUUUGAAGACUCUCUCAAGUGUUCUCUCCAUUUUGAACCCCAAGAACACCAAAGAAACUUGGAAGCUAAGUCUUGGUCUAGGAAGGGUUUUCCCUAAGUUGGUUAGGGUUUUUGAAAGGUUUUGAAGGAGUCAAAGCUUAUAGGAAGGUCCAAACCUUAAGCAAGAACACCAAAGAGGUAAGAACAAGGGCAAGGCAGAGCAGUGAGCGCUGGAGUCUUCCUUGCAAAUGUACAUGUGGACCGACCUUUUGGGAAGCCUUUUUAUUUUUGGAAAUGUUGUGUAAUUUUCCUAAACUAGGCUCACUCUAAUCUUUAUAAAACAUGUUUGUAACUAAAUGUUAAGUAUGGCCAUACGACUUUUUAAAAAGUUUUUUUUUCUAUGGGUUUUUGAGACAUUUUGUUAAAUGAAAACAUUUAUA